rnacentral:lncRNA from 1 species
AACCAAGAAGGUGAUAAAGAAAGUCUGCUAGCAAGACAUAAGUCACAAUCUUUUGUAAUCUAUUUAUGAAAGUGACAUCCCAUCAUCUUGACCACAAUCUAUUGAUUAGAAACAAGUACAGCUCACCCUCAACAAGAGGAGAUAAUAUCCAGGUGUGAAUUGCACAAGACUAAUCCAGUGGAAAAACUAUAUUCGACCCAAGGAUCUGUAUCCACACAGUUUGACAAUAAUUUACUUCUUUCUGGAAGCGAUGAGCACAGUGUAAUUCCUGAGAAAUUUUAAUAAUGAUAUUUUAAUUAUAAUUAAGUGAAACCUAGCAAAGUUGGCUGUAUCUGGAGGAACUCCACUGUGGGAAACAGAUUCUUAAGAUGGCUGAAGAUGGCUGUUUCGCUGCAUCAAUGUGUGACUUUCAAUAGAUGAUCGAAGAUGGCUGUUUGGCACUGUGUCUGAAUUAAGCCAGAAGGAAGGAGGAAGAAGAUGAAGAAAAGGCAUGCCUCUACCCCUUAGGACCACGUCUCUGAAGCUGUAUACAACAUUUCUGCUCUCAUAUAAUUGGGCAGAACUUAGUCAUAGAGCUACAUGUAGUUGCAAGGGAAGCUAUAUGCACUAAUGUGCUUAGUUAAACAUUGGGAUUCUCUUACUAAGGUACAUAAGGAGAACAUAUAUUUGGAGAGGCAACUAUCCAUCUCUGCCACAAGAUCUGAAACAAUUAUUGUGAGACUAUAAACAUAGAAAAAAGCUCCAGAGAUCAGGGGGAAGUCAGAAAUUAUUUGGGAUUCCAGUGAAUGGAAUGUUGACCAUAAAUGAGAAAUGAUGCUUGGGAUAAUUCCUAGCGAGCAUUGGCUUUUAGAGUUGGGAUUGAAGUCAACCAGCUAUAAAGAGCAAGACUGGGUGGGGUACUUUGAAAUGUCAUAUCAUUGUGUAUGGCUUUUGUGGUAGUUACUGCUUCUUUUUAGAAUAAUUCUCAUAACUAGGUAGAAAGCUCACCUUUGAAACUUCUGCAUGCCUAAUAAAAUGCUUCACUCACACCCAGUUGUUUUACUCAAGCGAGUAGUUUUAUGGUAACUGCAUUUGGGGUAACAGUCUUACAGAAGAGUUAACACAAUGGGCAGAUUCCAGGUGUGCUGUCAUUUGGAGGAGGCAAAUCCAUACAGACAAGAAGUAGAUUAGUGGUUGCCUAGAGCUGGAGGAGGGUAGGGAUAAGGAAUGGAUUACUACUGGGACUGGGUUUCUUUUUGGGGUGAUGAAAAUUUUCUAAAAUUGAUUGUGGUGAUGGUUGCCUAACUCUGUGAAUAGCAAUGAAUUGUGCUAUUGUACACUUUAGGUAAAUGGUAUGGUAUAUGAGUUAUAUCCCCAAUAAAG